UGAGACGCUGGGUUAGAUUCUCAGCACUGCAUAUAAAUAAACAACAUAAAGUUCAUUGACAACUAAAAAUAAUAUUAAAAAAAAGAAACAUAUGGCUAGUCUACAUCUACUUGAAAAUCAAAGAAUUAAGAUAGAGGGAACCAGUGGAUCAAUAAACUAAAAAGUAAGUGAUAUUAAUCUGAAGGUGACAAAUUAGAACUAUUAAUAAAACAAAAUAGAACGUUUUAAACAAAGGAAGAAAGUGAUUGAUAAGUGGAAACAAACAGGGAGAUACAGAAAAUGGAUUUAGGAAACUUAUGUUUAGAGUAAGUAAGAGUCAGAAUAUGGCAAUCAAAGUCACUUGAGCAAAAAAAACUUGACUAACACCUACAAUUUGAUCCAAGAAUAGCACAACAUCAAGAACUGAAAUCUAAGUGCAUGCCUGUAAUCCCAGUGACUUGGGAGGCUGAGGCAGGAAGAUCACAGGUUCACAGAGAGACCCUGUCUCAAAAUAAAAAAUAAAAAAUAAAAAAAGAUCGGGAUAUAGCUCAAUGGUAGUACUCCCCUGGGUUCAAUACCCAUUCCAAAAACAAAAAAGAACAAAACAAAACAAGAACUUAAAAGCAAGGCUGUCAAGCGAUAUAAACAGGAGAUGAUUACCCAAUAUUUGUAAUGUUCAUUCAACAUUUUAAAUUGUCUCAUGCCUAUUAUUCAUUAGAUCCUAAUAUGAUCUCAUGCAGAAGAGAGCAGGCAGAUUUAUCCCAUUUUGCAGAAGAAGAAAUUCAGGUAAGAGCAGCUGCUUUACAGGUCACAGGCACAAAUAGGUCAAGAUAGUGCUACAUCAGUCAAAAGAGAGGGGCUGGAGAGCUUUACAUGGUUCAAAAGAGUUUUACUUUUUUUUUCCCCUCUCAACUUUCUGCUAGAGGAUAAAACUAUGUAAUGAAUCCCCUGGCCUAGUCUCUGACAAAUGCUUUUCUAUCUGUUGCUCAGUUUUUGUUUUACACUGCUUUCAUCCCUCUUUGGUUCAUUCUCUAUCUCUUCUCCAUCUCAAUUAAUGCUGUGGGAAAAAGUACAAAAAAUACAUACAUACUGAACCAGACAUGACAGUAAGCUCUCUAGGGAUGACUGAGGUCUAAGAUCAAGAGGGUAAAACUGCACUAACAUACACAGAUUUUAUAAACACAAUUUUUUUUGCACUUAAAAAACAGAUCCCAAACUUUACAGCAACACUUAAAUGCCAAGCUCAUCUUUCAAAUAGCUUUAAAAACUAUAUGAAACCAUAAACACAUUCAUAUACUACUCUGAUGAUCUGUUCCUUCCUUGCCCCUUAAAGGCUGCCUCUCUUCUCCCUUUUUCUAUAUCAACCGACUGAAAGUUCAUGGGCAGCAAGUGCUGGAGAUAGAGUUCACUGUCUCCUGGCACAAGAGACACAUAUAAAAGAUGGUUAAAGAUAAGGAUGACUAGUAUGUGCUAAUAGAUUGACAGCUGAGUAAAAGCUGGAUUAAAUAAAAACAGAAUAGCUGGAAUAAAAAUUCCUUCUAGCUCUGACCUGGUGAACAUUUUCUAACUGCUAUCUCACCCACCUGCUGGUAGUUGCUCAAACUUGUCCCAGGACCUGGUUUCUGGCUAACAUCUGUAAUGGCUCAAUAAAUUCUUUUAUGUGGGAGAUCCCCUGAUCUCAAGAGUUUUGGUUUAAUACAUGUUACCUCCAAAAUGAAGAUUUCACUCAUCUUUUCUAACUUUUAUAUUUUUGAUUUAGAUCCAUAGUUCCAGGCUAUUCAGAGAAUUUACUGUCUUGGUUUUGUCACCUAAUAUAGGAAAAGAGAACUUGCAAUUUAUUUGGAUGACUACCGAAUGGGGGCUAGCUAAUGUUUGUGUAUGUUCAGGAAAUAAGACCUAUGGAAGCAGGAUCAUGCCAGAAGUUAAGAAGAUUUGUCUCCUGACAAGAACUAGUUCUGUGACUUCAGUACUUUGUGGUACUGCAAUUUCCUCAUAAGUAAAACCCUGUGGAAACAGCCUAAUGCUACCCCUGAAGUCUGAACAACAAUCCUACAAUAAGCAAUAGGCAAGGAAGAAAGAGCACAGAGGAAAAGGAUGCCAAUGAAGAACUGAACAGAAAACAGUGAUGGUUUACUGUGUCCUCAGGAAAGUUACUUAACCUUUUACAAUUUCAGUAAUAAAACAGAAAUUAUAAUCCCUACACCUUGGAAGACUGUUGUGAGGACUGAAGGAAAUUAAAGAAUGUAACAUGAGUAAAAGAUUCAAAACAGUGCUGGGCAAAGAUCUGUCCUCAUGGAAGAAAAUGAGUGACAAAGCCAAAAGGUGGGGGUUUUCAAAAGAUUAUGUAUAAUUUGGCAUAAUUUUUAGGUUCAAUCAUAAAUAAUCAUCUCCAUUUGUAAAGCAAUUUAAAGUUUACAAACCAGUUUGGAUUAAACACACUGAUUCUAUUACUAUUCUAAGUAAACAUUUCUCUCUGCUUAAUGCUGAAUCUGCAUAUACAGAUUCAUGAGUCAAUCGUAGUAGAAAAUAUUCUUAAAAUUCUAAAAUAAGGCAUAACUCUUUCUUCAAAGCUUUAACUUGAUCACUUGUCUCGUCAUUUCCUUCCCAUUAUUUUAAGCAGAAAGAGGUUUGAGAGACUACAUGUGUUCAAUCAUAAAAAUUCUUUGUUUCCCUAAAACGUUUGUUUUCCACGGUAUGAUAUCCAGGGUAGUUAUUAUAAUUUCAGGGCAAUUAUAGCCAUAAGAUUUAAGACCAGUGGUGCCAGUGGGGGAGAAGGUUUGGAGCAAAAUCUCCAAUGUUAACUCUAUACUUUUGCUUUGACAAGGUAAGUGACAUUCAGCACAAACACUGGUUAUCUGUCAAAGCUUUUAUUUUAAUGGGAAAAUACUUGAUUAUAUACUGCAUAUAUUUUGCAAUUCAUUGUGUAUUUCUUAACACAGAGCAAUUCACUGAUAGGCAAGAAUUUAUUAAGUCACUGGUUAAUUUCAUAUUUAAUAAAACUGAUCAAGUUCUGUGGUCAUUAAAAAGGAAAUGAUGUAAAUAAAAUGCAUUUAUUUUGAA